AACUCAUUCGGGUCUCAUAUGUAAAUUACGUUGUGACGCAAUCUUCUCUAACGGUCGGUUUAAUCGAUUUCAUUGUUGAAGCUGCAGAGUGACAUUUGAGAUUGAAAAAAUUUCAUACCAGAGUUAAUUCAAACUCCGUUUCCUUCAUCAACCACAAGAGGGCGACACCCAUCUGAAAGUCUGAAAUAAGCGUCAUCAGUGACCUUUGAAAAUCAUGAAAGGCAUUCCUCGAAUCACGUCUCGCGAAGGAUUAUCUUUCAGGAAGAUGAAGUACCAGAUGCACGCUCAUCCACAAAUCUCCUGUCAUCACAGAGAGCAUUCUGGGACACAGCCAGUUCCACAAUCUUAUUUGUAGAACAAACACACACGCUGUUACAGCAGUAAGUUAUGGCCACAACGGACAGUGUCUCAACGGGGACAGAAACCCGAAUAACUAUUAGCGAAACAAGCUCUGAUGUCAACACCACCGCUGAUGGGAGCAAUCUAGUUUUUUAUUGCAUCAGCCCAAUAUACAGACAUGCUUCACAUGUUGGUGAGGGGCUUGAAAGGGGAAUGUAUGGGUGACCCUGGAAACAACAGGAAUGUCUUUUGAACAACAACUAUAUUCGAAUGCGCUUUCAUGCAAGUGGUAGCUAUAGUUUGUGGACAAUAUUGUCCCCAGAAGUUGAGUAAAUAAAUAAAUAUGGCAAAAAUCUCCCAUUGAAGACAUCUUCAAAGAUUAAAAAUAACAAUAACGAGAUAUUCUGCCAAAGUCCUACAUCCCUGCCAAUAUUUUCAACUGGUCCAAACACCGAAAAUCUAUAUUAAAAAAAUGUUUGAAAACAAAUCAUUUUAAUUGAAUUAUUUUAUAUUUUGUGGAUGGUUACAUCACAUUCCAUUCUGUUACCCUCAUAUCACAGUGCAUAUAAUACAAAUAUCUGGCAACUCAAAAAUUGAGUUUCCGCCAAAAUCAGUACUGAAAAUGCAAAAUGCAAUAUCCGCUAUUAUUCGUUCAUGUUUUCUCCCUAUCUUUCCAAACCGCUACAAAUGCGACAAAUCGCUUCUUUGCAAAAUGCAAUACAUCCACUUAACCAAUCACAGCGCAUCAUUCCACACAUUGCAAACAGUAAUGGCAGCACUCUGGCAUCCUAGCUAGAUUUUGCACUUUCACACUGCCAGUGAUUACCCGGGAUAUGUGCGUGCUUUCACACACAA